GUUUUGUUGUUUUGCUAAGAAUUUCGUAUUAAAGAUGACUGAGUUGGAGUUGGAUAGUGAGAUGAUUCGACUAACUGUAAAAUGACUCCUGCAUGACAGCAUAACGUUUGCCAUACAAGUGCAUAAUAUCUAUAUAAUAUUAUUAUGUUUCCAUGGUAUUGAUAAUUGAUGUAUUGAUUUGAAAACUAGAAAUAAGCGUAUAGGAGUACUAGAGUCAGCAGAUUCAUCUUGCGAAUUCAGUUUAAUGGACGACAUUCGGCUUAAGUGUUUUGGAAGUCCUGCCGCCGAGUGUCGACGAUUGUGCCAAAGUGUGGCAUGUGGCAACACUGUAAUCAUUAAGGUUCCACAGACGGACGAAACGUGGUGCUUGGGAUUCAUAGAAGACAUCGCGGGCGAUGAGCUGUACAUCAGCUUCCAUUGCACAAGAGUGGCUGCCAGAUGGUUUCCAUCCCACUUGGUUUUUCCCCACAUCGUCUAUUCUUAUCCCCUAAGGGAAAAAAAUCUUCUGGUCGCUCUUCGUACCAGCAAAAAGGAUCCCUUCGUGUUAAGAGCAGCUGUAGUGCUGUCAUGGGUCGGUGGCGGCGGAUUGCUCUGUUACGUGGAAACCAUUAUUGGCUGCACCAGACAUUUGGUGCAUCAUUUACAAAUAGUUAAACAGUUGCCGCAAAGAGCUCUGCACGGUGCUACCAGACGCACGGGACUUUAUACAAGAUACUCCGUGAAGUUACCUGCGGCUGCCCCUGUUAGUAUUGCCCCAAUUAACUACAGCAUUGAUGAAAACCGCAUACAUUACGAAAUACAACGUUCGCGCCACGAUUUGCAGCACGGUACUGCCGGCAGAUACAGCAUUCAAUUGAGAGGUUGGAACAGAUUUUACUUCCAUGUGGAUAAGGAUAAUGUAACCAUUAUAUGCUGGGAGUUCGGCGAUUGCUUUUGGACCCAACAACUCCUCUCCCUCAGUGUCCACAGGUGUUUAGAAAGCGACGCGUUGCGGAUGGACUGGCAGUGGCCAAUGCUGUCGAAAAAUGGAAUGACACACCUGCUCGAAUGCUGUUACCAGGCACCGGACUUCCUGUGUAUACCCUUGGAAGUUAUUGCUCUGGUCUUUGAGUAUAUGGAUAUCAUCACCCAGACAAGGCUUGAAAGAGUAAAUCCAUUGUGGACGGAUAUGCUGGCAGCCUCUCGCAAAGCGGCUAUCGUUAUUGAUUUCGGCAUGCGACUGGAGACUGUGUACCGAAGCAACGAAGCGUUCCGCUUGGGCAUAAUGUUAUACCAUGCUUUAAAAACGCAUGUGCAUACACUAGUGAUGACGAAGUGGACGCCUGGCCUGAAUGUGUAUGGACACCACCAAAGCAGCGCGGAAAGCGACAUUGCGGUCCUAUGCGAAUUACUGCGCAUAAAGGGCACAAAGAAACUCCGUCGUAUCGUAAUGCACAAAUGCGUGGUAGACUACGAAUUCGACUUGUUUCGGCAAUGUUUGCUGCGCUGUUUGUCACCAUUGAUGGACAUGUGUGGACACCUUAUCCUAAUCGAUUACGUCAUGGACGACGCUCUGUGGCCCUUUGCAAUAAACAGGCCAUGCCAUAAUAACAAAGCUCUCUUACUAAGACGUCAACCCCCCUUAAAGCUGGAAUUAGUCGUAGCAUAUUUGCGCUUAGACUGCUCGCAACAUUCUGCUGCGACAUAUAAUGAGAUAUUGUCAACUAUUUUACAAGCGCUACCGGAACCAUCCGUUGGUGUACGCACUACUGUGGCUUCGAUGCUAACUUACUGGCAUUCACUCGACUUGGAAGCGAGAGCUGGCUACUGGAAACACCUCCGGGAAGUGCUUCAGUUGUGAGUUUUGGCGGUAGAUAAUGGUAAUGUCCUCGAUAAUGUACGUUUUGCCUCUGCGUGCGACAGCACUCAACCUCUGGACUCGGCUAAGCCAGCCAUAUUGCAGUGGGUAGAUGUUCAGUUUACCUCAGCGUCAAUGCCGUAUUUUACAAAAUUAACGCUUAUUGGGCUGCACUCAAUGUGGUAUGUCAGGGGAUCGGAAUUGCGUCAGGUCAUCUGACAAAGCGAUCAUAGUAGUCUUUUAAACUCUGUCCAUGACGAUGCUGGCGACCGAGAACCGAAUGUGAUUUCCGUUUCCUUAUCAAGACAACUAGAGUAGCCUGACAAAUCACGAUGUGGUUAUCUUGAGCCCACUGAACCGUUGAUGACUGGCUGUUCCAGAAGUUACACGAACCUUGACGUCCACAAAGCCUUAACCUUAAUCACGCUACUUAACGGAAGGAAUAGAAUAAUAAUGGUUUUGGUUUUGGUUUGGGUUUAUUGUUUUAACGUCCCUAGAUACAGGGAAAUGAAGGAGUUACCUUUAUCGGAAUCUACA